rnacentral:lncRNA from 1 species
CAGUCUCCGGGGAGUUUGACUUCUAUAGGGAGGGAGGGAGGCGAUGUGUUUCUGCACUUUGCUUCUUCAGUCAGACAUUCUGUGACUUCUUCAUUUCCUUCCGCUCCUCUUCAAGCCCUGGCAUGUUGGCUCAGAAGCACAAGAGGGCAGGAUAAUCCUCACUGUCUCAUUCACACUGACUGAAACCCUGGGCUUUGAAAUACAGACUCACUCCUCCCAAGCUCUACUCUGAUGCUGGGAGCAAUUUAGAGCAAAUGUUAUCCAAAGUGACAUUACCUAGAUCACUAGGUUCUUUCUUUCACCCUCCUCCAAUCCUGCUGUUCUUUCACUUCUAAGUCAAGGAAACUCCAAGUUUACACUUUGCAGGAGCCCCUGGAAUAUUUGGGGUUUCAUAUUGCACAUCAAAACUAUUUCUCACUGACCCAAUCAUCUAUUAAAAAUCUUGUUGAAUUUCUGCCAUUUUAAUGGCUAUCUGCCUUCAUAUGAAGUUCUUGGUAUUAUAAUAGUCAGUGUGCUUCCAAAUUAAUCCCAAUUCGUUUACUUUUACUUUAAGAUGAAAUGUAGGCAGAGCACAGUGGCUCACACCUGUAAUCCCAGCACUUUGGGAGGCCAAGGCGGGUGGAUCAUGAGGUCAGGAGUUCAAGACCAGCCUGGCCAACAUAGUGAAACCCUGUCUCUACUAAAAAUAGAAAAAAAAAAAACAGCCAGGCAUCGUGGCAGGCACCUGUAAUCCCAGCUACUUGGGAUUCUGAGGCAAGGAGAAUCGUUUGAACCUGGGAGGUGGUGGAGGUUGCAAUGAGCCGAAGUCGCGCCACUGCACUCCAGCCUGGGUGACAGUGCAAGACUCCGUCUCAAAAAAAAAAAAAAAAAAAGAAGAAGAAAUGUAGCUUAGAAACCAUUCUUCCAUAAAACCAAAACCAUAUCUCCUUAAGAGGAUGUUGGAAAAUCAGCCUUUCUCAUAAAGUAGUUUUCCCCACAAGUUUAAACACAUUACUCCACUAUAAGUUUAGAGACUAUUUUAAAAAACUAUUAUGCUUCAGCUUUUCCUGCAGUUCUCUCUUUCUUGUCUCUUACAUACUUCUCUGUGAUCUGGUCCAACAAUUAUUGCCAUGGCAACAAAGGCUCUGUGACAUCUCUAGCAAGCUCAUUGUCUUCUGCCUUAUUAAACUUUAAUGGGUAACUAGUAGACAGUAACACUCUGGGAGGGCUCAAACCACAUAACCAAAUGUGCCAAGAUAAUCCUGAGCUCACUAUUGUCAGUCCUGAAGAUUUUCCUCAGAUAAUCUUUCAUCUCUUUGUUCCUGAGACUAUAUAUUAGAGGAUUACAGAGUGGUGUUAUCACAGAAAAGAACAAGUGGAUUUUUAUCUGAGAUCUACAACUUAUGAAGAAUACAAAUGAUGUAUAUUCUUUUCUACUCUUCAUGUAUGGACUAGAGGGGCUUGCACAGUAGUAAGAAAAAAAUGGCUGAGACCCACAGGAACAAAGAAACAGGACAGGAGUUAGAUGCAGAGAAGAGAUUUCAACAAAAGUUUGGAAAAGAUGCUAACGGUAGCAUAUGAGUCACAGACAGAACAUUGGCACCUUUGUUUAAGAAACUGAAUGUUAAUGUCACAUCUGCCUUUGGAGAUUACAAAUGAAAUGGCUACCUUUCUACUGGAACCCUGACCAGAAGUCUGCCAGUUAGUAAGCUGGCUUAAGAGAUCAAUCUAAAAUUUACAUAAGGCUUUUGAAAAAAAGAAAAAACCCCUGAAAUGCUCAUAGACUUCUUUGUGGAGAGGAAGAUAAUUUCUUUUGAUGGAUGCAUUGCACAGCUCUUCUUCUUACACUUUGCUGGGGCUUCGGAGAUGUUCUUGCUCACAGUGAUGGCCUUUGACCUCUACACUGCUAUCUGCCGACCCCUCCACUAUGCUACCAUCAUGAAUCAACGUCUCUGCUGUAUCCUGGUGGCUCUCUCCUGGAGGGGGGGCUUCAUUCAUUCUAUCAUACAGGAACCCAAAGGCACAGAUUGACGUUAUAAGUCCUGAUUUUUGACUUGACUUCUCAUCACCUGGAAGUGAAUAAAGCAGUAGACUUCUCUAACAUUUUGUAACACAGCAUGAAAAAAUAUAGAGUACAAAAGAUAUA